UCCCAGACUCCUACGGGAGGCAGCAGUGGGGAAUAUUGCACAAUGGGGGAAACCCUGAUGCAGCGACGCCGCGUGAGUGAAGAAGUAUCUCGGUACGUAAAGCUCUAUCAGCAGGGAAGAAAAUGACGGUACCUGACUAAGAAGCCCCGGCUAACUACGUGCCAGCAGCCGCGGUAAUACGUAGGGGGCAAGCGUUAUCCGGAUUUACUGGGUGUAAAGGGAGCGUAGACGGUUAUGUAAGUCUGGAGUGAAAGCCCGGGGCCCAACCCCGGGACUGCUUUGGAAACUGUGUAACUGGAGUACAGGAGGGGCAGGCGGAAUUCCUGGUGUAGCGGUGAAAUGCGUAGAUAUCAGGAGGAACACCGGCGGCGAAGGCGGCCUGCUGGACUGAAACUGACGUUGAGGCUCGAAAGCGUGGGGAGCAAACAGGAUUAGAUACCCUCGUAGG
rnacentral:rRNA from 1 species